UGUGAGCUAUUAGUUGGCCAGUAGUAUUGAGCUCGCAACUCUAUACGUUAUACCUUCAAAUUGACGGGAACCUCCUAAAGCUACUUAAACCAAGCAAUUUUAGUAAUGAAAUUGUGGCUGAAUUAACUACUCAGGUAAGGUAAUAUAUAAGUAGAUUCCGUAAGGGAAUGGACAAUCCGCAGCCAAGCUCCUCCUUUCUUUUAGAAUUAAUGGUAUGAAAAUAUAUCAUUGAAAUCUUAUUAAGGGGGUGUGCAGUUCAUCGACUAAAUGUAGGUAGACAAAUAAUAGUAAGAAGGUGUCCAAUGCUUCGCAGCUUUGUGAUAAAUUAUAUUAUUAUUUAUUUGUUUAAGAUAUAGUCAAGCCUCACUCGAAAGGGUGCA
rnacentral:ncRNA from 1 species